rnacentral:lncRNA from 1 species
GCAGGAAAAUGGCAUGAACCCGGGAGGCGGAGCUUGCAGUGCGCCGAGAUAGCACCACUGCACUCCGUCCUGGGUGAAAGAGCGAGAUUCCGUCUCAAAAAAAAAAAAAAGGUGGGCCGGGCACAGUGGCUCACGCCAUGGUGAAAUCCCAUCUCUACAAAAAAAAAAAAAUACAAAACUUAGCCCAGUGUGGUGGCGGGCGUCUGUGAUCCCAGCUACUCAGGAGGCUGAGGCAGAGAAUUGCUUCAACUCGGGAGACGGAGGUUGCAGUGAGCCAAGAUUGUGCCACUGCACUCCAGCCUGGGCAGUAGAGUAGGUUUUUUGGCCUUGGGAAGGUCCUUCACCCGCUCUGAACCUCAGUAUCCCCACCUGUAAAACAAAAGAACUGGACAUGUCACUGUAGUUUUCAAACUAUGCUUGAUAGCAGUUCCUUAGCGAAGAGCUUCCCAGCUGGUGUGCCUUGGCAUGAUGACCUCAUUAGCCCUCCCAGACAAGGCCUGUGGUGGGUGAGCCCCCAGGAGCGGUUCCAUUCACAUUUCCUCUCCUUACCUUUGCCUUAAAAAUGG